GCCUCAUUGGUGUAGUUGGUAGCACGCCAGUCUCAUAAGCUGGAGGUCGUCGGUUCAAAUCCGUCAUGAGGCA
rnacentral:tRNA from 1 species